AUUAUCCACUGCGAAUAUUGUAUAAUACUAUAUGCAUGUUAGGAAUAUUGCAUCUUAUAUGUCAUGAACGAUGGUAGAUAACCUUGUAUUGCAUGUCUCAAUACUUCAAAUGUCCAUCUGAUCCCGAACGGAAGUUUGAGGGCAUCACACAAAGAGACUGCUAAGGAGAAAAAUAAUAGGGCUUGAGCCUGUCAGGGAGGGGGGGAGCCAAACUACCGUAGGGAAGAGGAUGAUACCCUAGCCUUCUAAUGUUCUUGAAGUAAGCCCAAGCCUCGGGAUUUGGCAAAAGUAACUGCAAGUCUAGCUUUCAUAGGUCUUCCUCGAGGUGCUCCAACAGUUGCUUCCUUAACCACUCGAGGCCUUCCUAAUAGUUGAAUGACUAGGCUAUGUCCCGAAUAGCAUUACAAUUCUUGAUAUGAUCAUUUAUCCCUGCAGCGUUACGAUCGACAAUCUCUAGGUUCGAUCUCAGCCCUAUGAUAGAAAGGCCUUGCACAAGAAGGGUCUCAUUCUUUUCAGACUCCUCCCGCUUCAGCCUCCAGACCUCCCACUUCGCCUGCUCGAGCCUCCCCCUCAAGACCUGCACCUCUCCUAUGCCUCUGAAACCCAAGGAUAGCAGCUAGAAACACUGUCUAGGAGCUUUGGCAUGGUCCUGACAGAGUUGCCUCAGUGUCGCUUGGUCUUGGGCCCAUCCGACCUCUUGGGCAGCCAGCAUCUGCAUGGCCGUGUCACGCUCUUCCACUAACUGUUUGUUGUGGUCGGCCAGCUGAAGUGCAUUUUCCAUGGUGGUGUUGAGCUCCUGUCUCAAGUUCUCCUUCUGGCGAUCUCUCUUGGUGGCCUCCCCCUCCAAUUGUUAGAUGCGUUGCUAGAUCUCAUCGAUUUCCUGGAGCCACUCCCGGUGAUUGGUCUUAAGCUCUUCAUUUCACCGCCCCAUCUGCCAGAGCUUGAAGUGUUCGAGGUGGAACAGGGAGGCCAGUUGGCAGUUGGCCUCGGAUAGCUCCCUGACCUCUUCGCCGACCAUAACAGCUAUCUAGUUGGCGGUCUGCAAAGCAUUGAUGAUACAUGUAAAUAAAAAAGGAAACAUCCAAGGAUCUAAUUCGUGGUAAGGGAGGAUUGAACUGGAUUAUAUCUGAGCAAAGGCAGGCCAUAGCCUCCGGGUUGUCCAUUUGGUGGUAGUAGCAUGGGCCCUUUCAAGCUCAGACUCUAGGCUCUAACCCACCCCAGUCUUGGUUAAUGGGAAGGGCUAGCAGGGCCUAAGGGCUAGGAGUGACCAGACCCUGAUGCCCCUGCCUCUCCAUCACCAACAACCUUUCUAGAAUUGCCUGAGCAACUCAAUCGCAGAGCCCGAGAGGAUGACAACAAGAGGAGAGGAGUGUGGAACCUCUUCAUCUCGGUGAAAUCUAGGGGUAGAAGAGGAGCUAAGGAAGCUCCCCAAUGCAUCCUCCUCACUUCCUUCGGGGCACCACUCGCUUUUGUCAUCCACCUCUCUGUAUUCCCCCAUUUCUUCUUCUUCUUGUCCCUCUCUUUCCACUUCUUCUUCCUCUUCUCUUUCUUCUUCGUCUUUUUCUUCAUUUUCUUCUCUCCCUUCUUCUUCUCCAUCUUCCUCUUCUUCUCCCUCUUCCUCUUCUUCCCCUUUUUCUCAUUUUUCCUCUUCUUCUAUUUCUUUUUCUUCUUCUCCCUCUUCCCCUCCCGUCACUUUGGCCGACCCUUGCUUGAGCCAGAUGACUCUCAUGCCGCCACCGGGCCUUCACAAGCAAGCUCCUCCCUCAAGGUGUUCUCGAAAGGCUCAAACUCCCACAUCUCUCGCCUGGAACAUGCGAAGGGAAGUACACAAAAGAUUUGAGGAAGACCUUUCAAAGACUGAAUCAUCAUUGGAUGGGAAAUGGCAGCUCGACAGGGGUUGAAUGAGGGCUCGUGGAGAAGAGGUACCGGCAGUCGGGUGGUGGGUUGUUGAGGAAGAAGCACCAGCGGUGUCACCCGAUCUAGUAGGAAAUGACAUUGUCCUCCCCCAGGUGAGGGGAGGAGGAACCCUGAUAGGCGAGGACUCUACAUGUUCUCUACUGCCAGGAGAAUGCUCCCGAGAACCAUCCCCACUUGAAGCCUAGGGAGGGACUCAUGGCAAGCCUUUGACCGCCUGGCUUCGUGCUGGGAAGGUUCAGCCUCCCUCUUUUGCUCAAAGGGGGAGGAUCCCUAGAUGGUGUGGGGAGAACUGCUCGAGGACCGAUAGAUCUCCAAAGCACAAUGGUCGGAGAGCGCAACGUCAAUGUUCUACUCGUACUCGUGCUCCUGGGCCCAUUUAAUUAUCUUCUAGACAUAGGUCUCUUCCUCGAGAGUCAGUCGGAUCUCCAUGCUUUUGCAUGGAAGGAAAGAGCCCCCAGUUCACCUAGACGAGAAAAUCCCCCUGAACUUGCUCUUCUUCAGGGAACUCCCAACCUAAACCCGAAACGAAGAACCUUUUUGUAUAGUCCUUGACACUCGAGGGGCGGGUUUCUAGUGUAGCGAUCCUCUAGCCUGAGACCAUGGUUUGGAACCAGCACAAAUUACCUGAAGGAUGGUUGAUUCGGUAUACUAACAGGAACUCCCGAGCCGUCACAUCGGGAUACACCUCCCCCACCAAAAAGAGGGCCUUCCUGGCAAUGAUGUAGAUGGACAUCAACAAUCUCCAACCAUUGGGGAUGAGUUGGGUAGAAGCCAAUCCCAAAUAGUGGAGGACUUCCCGAACAGGGUAGUAGAACGGGAGGCAAACUCCACAAGUGAACAUCUCAGGGUAGAGGGCCACCUAAGACGCUAUCCCAGAAUAAGCCAUGGCAUGUUCUAGUGACCAGGGAAUCUCCAAAACAACUGACUGGGGGAUGCUAAAUUGCAUCCGGUAAGCAUGAAGAUCCCCGCCAGUUACCACCGAAAUCCAACUCCGUCCGUCGUAGGAAGGGCCAGGGAUAUUAGUGGAGGUCUUGGAGGCCAUGGAGACGAAGAAAAUGGGGGGCUAGAAACUAAAAGAUAGAGAAGAAAUCUCGAGAGGCUAAGGAAAGAAAGAGUUCUGGGAGAGGAGUUGCAGAAAUGCUGAGGAAGGAGGCAAACCAAGGGUUUAAAUAGCGAGGAGUAAGGGAGCAUGGCGAGGGAAACGAAGCGACACUACCAUAACUGGCGUCUACGAAGCGAUGUGCAGGUCCCCCAACCAGUAUGGGUAACAGAGGAGGUGUCAGACAUGUGGAUGGCACGACCCAAUGAAGUCUUGAGAAGGUCAGCAGACAGGCAGCCAAGCAGUUCCAUCAACUACCAUCAAGCAUGGGACGGGCAAGAAAUGAGGAGAUGCACAGAAGCCGAACCGAUGGAAAAACUUUUUUUUUUUUUUUAAAGGGAGGAGGUAGAGGGAAAGGCGCGUGGCACCACUGGCCAAUCACUACCCAGGGAAGAGAAAUCGAAUGGCUGACUAACGAUUGAAAGGAUCAGAAGCUCAAAGGGUUCCCCCUGACUCAAUGAAGCUUCAGGACACUAGAGGGAGACGUCUAACUUGGAAAUCCCACCACUUAGUUGUGGUGAGAUUUCAUGAGGUAAUGUGAGGAGGAUGGGCCCCCGAGCCAAAUGGCCUAGCCCAGAACUUCCAAGUAACCUUGAACCAGGAGAAACAAAGAGAAGGUCAAGGCUUGUCCCAACAACCCCUUUUACCCCAUGAAAGGGGUCCCCAGGCUGUGGACCAUGAUCAACAGAGAGGCCCAUCACAAGCCUAGGCCACUCAAGGCCAUCACAAGAAUUGGAGCUUGAUGGGGUCACAUCGAGUAGGAAGACAAGCGGCAUGCUGGCAGUCAAAUUUGCCCAGGCGUGGGUGGCCAGAGGUAUGUCGCAUUUAUGACCUGCUUAGGCGUGGGCAGCUAGAGGCACGUCACAUUUAUGACCUGCCCAGUCGUAAACGGCCAGGGACACAUCCCAUUUAUUGCAUGACAAAAUAUACCCGCAUGCAACAGCGUACCCCUAAAACUACGCAAUCACAGUAUGGCAAAACACUAUCAGAGUAGGGAUGAGAUAGGCUUGACUCAUACAUGACUUGGCAUCCCACCCUUCUCUUGAAGACAGGGUCUAACCCAGGUUCUCUGAAGUGGACUCCAUGGAACUGCUCAAGCUGCGAAACACAACAUCAAUACCUUCAUUGAUAAUGAGAUUUAAAAUAUGUGCACAACAUAGUGUAUGCACAAACUCAAACAAUUUCUAAUACUAUACAAUUUCUAACUUUGUCGCUUUUGCUCAAUUAAUCAAUGAUCGUUUGAUUAGAAGAUGCAUUGUCGACAGUAAUAGUAAAUAUUCUCUUUAUACCCCAUUGAAGAAUGAAUGAUUCAAUUUCUCCUCCUA